rnacentral:rRNA from 1 species
UACGAAGGGGGCUAGCGUUGCUCGGAAUCACUGGGCGUAAAGGGCGCGUAGGCGGAUCUUUAAGUCGGGGGUGAAAGCCCAGGGCUCAACCCUGGAAUUGCCUUCGAUACUGAAGAUCUCGAGACCGGAAGAGGUUAGUGGAACUGCGAGUGUAGAGGUGAAAUUCGUAGAUAUUCGCAAGAACACCAGCGGCGAAGGCGGCAUCCUGGACCUGACCUGACGCUGAGGCGCGAGAGCGUGGGGAGCAAACUGG